AACCUGGUGGCUUAGUGGUUAAGCAUUUGGCUGCUAACCAAAACGUGAGCAGUUCGAAUCCACCAGGCUC
rfam:Loxodonta africana unplaced genomic scaffold scaffold_29, whole genome shotgun sequence.